rnacentral:rRNA from 1 species
UACGGAGGGUGCAAGCGUUGUUCGGAAUCAUUGGGCGUAAAGCGCGUGUAGGCGGUCGCUUAAGUCUGGUGUGAAAGCCCGGGGCUCAACCCCGGAAGUGCACUGGAUACUGGGCGGCUAGAGGACGAGAGAGGGAAGCGGAAUUCCUGGUGUAGGGGUGAAAUCCGUAGAUAUCAGGAGGAACAUCAGUGGCGAAGGCGGCUUCCUGGCUCGUUUCUGACGCUAAGACGCGAAAGCGUGGGGAGCAAACAGG